ACCAGACUCCUACGGGAGGCAGCAGUGGGGGAUAUUGCACAAUGGGGGGAACCCUGAUGCAGCGACGCCGCGUGGGUGAAGAAGCGCCUCGGCGCGUAAAGCCCUGUCAGCAGGGAAGAAAAUGACGGUACCUGAAGAAGAAGCCCCGGCUAACUACGUGCCAGCAGCCGCGGUAAUACGUAGGGGGCAAGCGUUAUCCGGAUUUACUGGGUGUAAAGGGGGCGCAGACGGCGGUGCAAGCCAGGAGUGAAAGCCCGGGGCCCAACCCCGGGGCUGCUCUUGGAACUGCGUGGCUGGAGUGCAGGAGGGGCAGGCGGAAUUCCUGGUGUAGCGGUGAAAUGCGUAGAUAUCAGGAGGAACACCAGUGGCGGAGGCGGUCUGCUGGACAGCAACUGACGCUGAGGCGCGAAAGCGUGGGGAGCAAACAGGAUUAGAUACCCCAGUAAAU
rnacentral:rRNA from 1 species